rnacentral:pre_miRNA from 1 species
AAUGGCACCCUAUUCCCUAUAUAGUGCACUACUUUUGACUAGCACCUGUCAAAAGUAGUGCACUAUAUAGGGAAUAGGGUGCCAUUU